rnacentral:misc_RNA from 1 species
GAUGAAGAACGUAGCGAAAUGCGAUAAGUAAUGUGAAUUGCAGAAUUCAGUGAAUCAUCGAAUCUUUGAACGCACAUUGCGCCCGCCAGUAUUCUGGCGGGCAUGCCUGUUCGAGCGUCAUUUCAACCAUCAAGCCCCAGGCUUGUGUUGGGGACCUGCGGCUGCCGCAGGCCCUGAAAACCAGUGGCGGGCUCGCUGUCACACCGGGCGUAGUAGAUUUUAUCUCGCUCAGGGCGUGCUGCGGGUUCCGGCCGUUAAAAAGCCUUUUUUACCCAAGGUUGACCUCGGAUCAGGUAGGAAGACCCGCUGAACUUAAGCAUAUCAAUAAGCGGAUGA